rfam:Streptomyces albulus strain NK660, complete genome.
CUUCACCGAGCCCAACAGCAACGGACGUUCAACGACACGGUCCUGCCCAUAAGUGGCCAGCAGCGCCUGGGCCUC